GUCGGUCACUGUCCCUCAAUAAGCAGACAGUUCGUUCAAAGAAGGAAUACAAAGACGACAAAAAAACACCAAUAUUUUGCAAUUUGAUGGAGAAGCCGAUGUAAAACUCUACAAGACUCUCGACGUUGCUUCACUCUUAACUGAGUUUAGCUCAAAUGCAGUCGGCAUUCCAUCUUUCAUGUAAUACAGUGAAUACCUUACUGGCAAUGUACUAGAUCCAAGAAAGUGACAAAAGUAGGUGUGUCAGUGGACAACUUUGGGCGUGGUAGCGAGACAAAUUUUUGAUGUCUUGCCACAGUUUG